rnacentral:rRNA from 1 species
UUGGCUMUACCCGAAGGCGUUUCGCUAACCGCAAGGAGGCAGGCGACCACGGUAGGGUCAGCGACUGGGGUGAAGUCGUAACAAGGUAGCCGUAGGUGAACCUGCAGAAGSAUCA